UCCUGACUGACCGAUAGUGAACCAGUACCGUGAGGGAAAGGCGAAAAGAACCCCGGCGAGGGGAGUGAAAAAGAACCUGAAACCGUGUACGUACAAGCAGUGGGAGCCUCUUUUAUGGGGUGACUGCGUACCUUUUGUAUAAUGGGUCAGCGACUUAUAUUCUGUAGCAAGGUUAACCGAAUAGGGGAGCCGAAGGGAAACCGAGUCUUAACUGGGCGUUAAGUUGCAGGGUAUAGACCCGAAACCCGGUGAUCUAGCCAUGGGCAGGUUGAAGGUUGGGUAACACUAACUGGAGGACCGAACCGACUAAUGUUGAAAAAUUAGCGGAUGACUUGUGGCUGGGGGUGAAAGGCCAAUCAAACCGGGAGAUAGCUGGUUCUCCCCGAAAGCUAUUUAGGUAGCGCCUCGUGAACUCAUCUCCGGGGGUAGAGCACUGUUUCGGCAAGGGGGUCAUCCCGACUUACCAACCCGAUGCAAACUGCGAAUACCGGAGAAUGUUAUCACGGGAGACACACGGCGGGUGCUAACGUCCGUCGUGAAGAGGGAAACAACCCAGACCGCCAGCUAAGGUCCCAAAGUCAUGGUUAAGUGGGAAACGAUGUGGGAAGGCCCAGACAGCCAGGAUGUUGGCUUAGAAGCAGCCAUCAUUUAAAGAAAGCGUAAUAGCUCACUGGUCGAGUCGGCCUGCGCGGAAGAUGUAACGGGGCUAAACCAUGCACCGAAGCUGCGGCAGCGACACUAUGUGUUGUUGGGUAGGGGAGCGU
rnacentral:rRNA from 1 species